rnacentral:rRNA from 1 species
CCUACGGGGGGCAGCAGUGGGGAAUAUUGGGCAAUGGAGGCAACUCUUACCCAGCAAUGCCGCGUGAAUGAAGAAGGUCUCCGGAUUGUAAAGUUCUUUUAUAGGGGAAUAAAGGUAUCCACGUGUGGAUAUUUGCAUGUACCCUAUGAAUAAGCAUCGGCUAACUCCGUGCCAGCAGCCGCGGUAAUACGGAGGAUCCGAGCGUUAUCCGGAUUUAUUGGGUUUAAAGGGUGCGUAGGCGGUUUGAUAAGUUAGAGGUGAAAUGUCGGGGCUCAACCCCGAAACUGCCUCUAAUACUGUUGGACUAGAGAAUAGUUGCGGUAGGCGGAAUGUAUGGUGUAGCGGUGAAAUGCUUAGAGAUCAUACAGAACACCGAUUGCGAAGGCAGCUUACCAAACUAUAUCUGACGUUGAGGCACGAAAGCGUGGGUAGCAAACAGGAUUAGAUACCCUUGUAGUC